GAGUAACGCGUGAGGAACCUGCCUCAAAGAGGGGGACAACAGUUGGAAACGACUGCUAAUACCGCAUAAGCCCACGACCCGGCAUCGGGUAGAGGGAAAAGGAGCAAUCCGCUUUGAGAUGGCCUCGCGUCCGAUUAGCUAGUUGGUGAGGUAACGGCCCACCAAGGCGACGAUCGGUAGCCGGACUGAGAGGUUGAACGGCCACAUUGGGACUGAGACACGGCCCAGACUCCUACGGGAGGCAGCAGUGGGGAAUAUUGCACAAUGGGGGAAACCCUGAUGCAGCGACGCCGCGUGGAGGAAGAAGGUCUUCGGAUUGUAAACUCCUGUUGUUGAGGAAGAUAAUGACGGUACUCAACAAGGAAGUGACGGCUAACUACGUGCCAGCAGCCGCGGUAAAACGUAGGUCACAAGCGUUGUCCGGAAUUACUGGGUGUAAAGGGAGCGCAGGCGGGAAGACAAGUUGGAAGUGAAAUCCAUGGGCUCAACCCAUGAACUGCUUUCAAAACUGUUUUUCUUGAGUAGUGCAGAGGUAGGCGGAAUUCCCGGUGUAGCGGUGGAAUGCGUAGAUAUCGGGAGGAACACCAGUGGCGAAGGCGGCCUACUGGGCACCAACUGACGCCGAGGCUCGAAAGUGUGGGUAGCAAACAGGAUUAGAUACCCUGGUAGUCCACACUGUAAACGAUGAUUACUAGGUGUUGGAGGAUUGACCCCUUCAGUGCCGCAG
rnacentral:rRNA from 1 species